AGAGAGAUAGUUCUUCAAGGUUUCAGAAGAAAGCAAGAGACUAGGCUGAUAGGCGAAAAAGGGAUUCCAGCUUUGAAAAUCAAGUAAGCAACCGGCAUAUAAUGCCUGAUGGACUGCUGGCGAGUGGACGAACGAGGUGGGGCUCGGGAUAUGGAUACCACUCGCAAAUAUUU